AAUUCGGAUUUUUUGUUUGGAUCAGUUGAUGAGCAAAUACUGCAACAAUAUGAUGGAGAAAUCUUUAUGAUUCUUAGUAUUUAAGUCUCUGAUGAUCUUAUUUGUUUUUAUAUUUCCUCUCUUCUCCUUUUAGAUCUUGCACAUAGUCGUCCCUUUUUCUGAACAGAGAUGUGAUGAGUAACAAAUUGGUCCGUGUUUCUGAUUAACCGUGACUGAGAAUUUAUUAACCAAACUCUGAUCUCAAUAAGUUUUAUUAUU
rnacentral:sRNA from 1 species